AGAGAUCGCAUAGUUGGUCUAGUGCGCUGGCUUGGAAAGUAAGUAUCCUGAGAGAUGUCAAGGGUUCGAAUCCCUUCCUCUCCG
rnacentral:tRNA from 1 species